UACGACAAUCUCGCUAUUUUC
rnacentral:piRNA from 1 species